AGCAGCCGCGGUAACUGGAGCUCCAGAAGCGUAUAUUAAAGUUGUUGCAGUUAAAAAGCUCGUAGUUGGAUCUGGGUCGCAUGGCUGUUCGCUGUGAUUGGCUUCAUACAUUGUUUGUUGGUGUUAACGCGCCUUCAUUUGUGGUGUUGUUGAUCCGGUGUUAUGGUCGUGUAACCUUUCUGUCGUGUCUGUGCCUUUCUUCGGAAAAGCGCAGGUGUUGGUCUUCUGUGUGUCGUAAGAUGUGCAGUUGAUUCCCAUGCUUUCGGGUGCUCUUUAUUGGGUGCUUGGAGCGGGCGGCAAGAAAACUUUGAACAAAUUUGAGUGCUCAAAGCAGGCCGUAGAGCCUGAAAAGUCUUGCAUGGAAUAAUGAAAUAGGACUUCGGUUCUAUUUUGUUGGUUUUCGGAUCCGAAGUAAUGGUUAAGAGGGACAAACGGGGGCAUUUGUAUGGCGGCGUUAGAGGUGAAAUUCAUGGAUCGUCGCCAGACAAACUACAGCGAAAGCAUUUGCCAAGGAUGUUUUCAUUGAUCUCCAGCGUUUGUCAGAGGAUCGAAGACGAUCAGAUACCGUCCUAGUUCUGACCAUAAACGAUGCCAACUGACGAUCCGAGGCGAGCUACUUUUGGCCCCUCGGGCAGUCCCCGGGAAACCUUUAAGUCUUUGGGCUCCGGGGGAAGUAUGGUUGCUUUGCUGAAACUUAAAG
rnacentral:rRNA from 1 species